GAAAUGCGAUAAGUAAUGUGAAUUGCAGAAUUCAGUGAAUCAUCGAAUCUUUGAACGCAUCUUGCGCUCCUUGGUAUUCCGAGGAGCAUGCCUGUUUGAGUGUCAUUAAAUUCUCAACCUCUACCAGCUUUGUUGCUUGGUCUUAGGCUUGGAUUUGGAGGUUUUCUGCGGGCCUGUCAAUGGGCCAGCUCCUCUGAAAUACAUUAGCAGUCUCUCUUUGUGGUUCAAUGACUAUUGGUGUGAUAAACUAUCUACACUUAUGGCUAACCAUGCUCACAAGCUGCUCUCUAACUGUCUGAAAGGACAAUACCAAAUGAAUAUUUGACCUCAAAUCAGGUAGGACUACCCGCUGAACUUAA
rnacentral:rRNA from 1 species